GACGAACGCUGGCGGCGUGCCUAAUACAUGCAAGUAGAACGCACAGUUUAUACCGUAGCUUGCUACACCAUAAACUGUGAGUUGCGAACGGGUGAGUAACGCGUAGGUAACCUGCCUGGUAGCGGGGGAUAACUAUUGGAAACGAUAGCUAAUACCGCAUAAUAUUAAUUAUUGCAUGAUAAUUGAUUGAAAGAUGCAAUUGCAUCACUACCAGAUGGACCUGCGUUGUAUUAGCUAGUAGGUGAGGUAACGGCUCACCUAGGCGACGAUACAUAGCCGACCUGGGAGGGUGAUCGGCCACACUGGGACUGAGACACGGCCCAGACUCCUACGGGAGGCAGCAGUAGGGAAUCUUCGGCAAUGGACGAAAGUCUGACCGAGCAACGCCGCGUGAGUGAAGAAGGUUUUCGGAUCGUAAAGCUCUGUUGUAAGAGAAGAACGGGUGUGAGAGUGGAAAGUUCACACUGUGACGGUAUCUUACCAGAAAGGGACGGCUAACUACGUG
rnacentral:rRNA from 1 species